rnacentral:tRNA from 1 species
CACUAAGAAGCUAAAGGACAGCAACAGCCUUUUAAGCUGUAGAUGGCGGCUCAAACCGCCCUUAGUGA